rnacentral:rRNA from 1 species
UGGGGAAUAUUGGACAAUGGGCGAAAGCCUGAUCCAGCCAUGCCGCGUGUGUGAAGAAGGUCUUCGGAUUGUAAAGCACUUUAAGUUGGGAGGAAGGGCAUUAACCUAAUACGUUAGUGUUUUGACGUUACCGACAGAAUAAGCACCGGCUAACUCUGUGCCAGCAGCCGCGGUAAUACAGAGGGUGCAAGCGUUAAUCGGAAUUACUGGGCGUAAAGCGCGCGUAGGUGGUUUGUUAAGUUGGAUGUGAAAUCCCCGGGCUCAACCUGGGAACUGCAUUCAAAACUGACUGACUAGAGUAUGGUAGAGGGUGGUGGAAUUUCCUGUGUAGCGGUGAAAUGCGUAGAUAUAGGAAGGAACACCAGUGG